AAAUGAAAGUGGCGAACGGGUGAGUAACACGUGAGCAACCUACCUUACACAGGGGGAUAGCCGUUGGAAACGACGAUUAAUACCGUAUGAGACCACAGAAUCGCAUGAUAUAGGGGUCAAAGAUUUAUCGGUGUAAGAAGGGCUCGCGUCUGAUUAGCUAGUUGGAAGGGUAAAGGCCUACCAAGGCGACGAUCAGUAGCCGGUCUGAGAGGAUGAACGGCCACAUUGGAACUGAGACACGGUCCAAACUCCUACGGGAGGCAGCAGUGGGGAAUAUUGCACAAUGGGGGGAACCCUGAUGCAGCGACGCCGCGUGAGCGAAGAAGGUUUUCGAAUCGUAAAGCUCUGUCCUAUGAGAAGAUAAUGACGGUAUCAUAGGAGGAAGCCCCGGCUAAAUACGUGCCAGCAGCCGCGGUAAUACGUAUGGGGCGAGCGUUGUCCGGAAUUAUUGGGCGUAAAGGGUACGUAGGCGGUUUUUUAAGUCAGGUGUGAAAGCGUGAGGCUUAACCUCAUUAAGCACUUGAAACUGGAAGACUUGAGUGAAGGAGAGGAAAGUGGAAUUCCUAGUGUAGCGGUGAAAUGCGUAGAUAUUAGGAGGAAUACCGGUGGCGAAGGCGACUU
rnacentral:rRNA from 1 species